rnacentral:lncRNA from 1 species
GGAAGGGUUCUGCACUUGCAAGCAUAGCGCUGAAAUGUCCAUACCUCAAGUUCCGAAGGUCAGGUUGGGAGAAAACAGCGGGCGACAGUGUGCUGUUCCAGAUGACCCAGGCAGUCUUCCAGCUACGCCUUGGAGUCUCCUUACAGACACUGCCAUGCUUUGGAUGUGAAGUGACUCCUGUGUUGUGAAGGCUAGGCCCCCAGCUGAUGGUGCUCUUGAAAGAUGAAUGAGCCAGGAGGACUGCUGAAGGCCAAUGGAGAUCAAGAUUCCUGAACCGAGGAGAGAUGCGGAUCACGAGGACUGUUGAUUCACAGCAGAAUGAGCUUUUCAGUGGGGUCUGGCAGGAGGAAGCAGCCCUCAUUUCCACCAAGAAGAAGACUACAGCUCCCUCAACCCACUCUCCUCCACAAGAUCCCUGUUAGAAAUGGACUUGCAAAGGUUUGUUUUCAAAUAUUUCCUG